GGAGGCAUGGCUUAAGUGGUAGAGCAUCUGCCUAGCAAGUACAAAGCUUUUAGUUAAAACCAUAAUGCCACCA
rnacentral:tRNA from 1 species